rnacentral:lncRNA from 1 species
UCGGAACUCUUAAGAGGACUACUUGCUUGCCCAUUCCAAGAAGGGAGUUGGGCCUCGCAUUCUAGACGAAAGUCCAAAGUGCGAUGCCUUUAGAUUGGAGGAAACCGCGUGAGGUUGGCCUUACAGAGCAGCGUCACCUCCUGCUCUCAUCGGUGGACGGAUAACGUGCAAGUUUUUGAGAGCCCAAUUACCUUGGUACGAAGUUCAAAACAAGACAACCAACUUUUUUCAUGGACAUAAGUAUAUAGCAGUACAGUUGUGUCGUAGAAUCAUUACAUGCUCACUUUUGAUGCAUUUUCUUUGUGGUCUUACAUAAAUUUCCAACAAAGUCUGUCCCAAGCCCGUAUCCGAUUUUAGUUACACAUCCAAUUUGCGAAUCACACCGUUGUUCGGUGCUUCUUUAGUACAAACGUACGUGGGUCUUUUAUGAACACGCAUACAUUCAUUGCCAAACUUGUCCCACAUUGAAAAUUUUUGAAUCUACAAGUCUGUGUAUGUAUGGAAAAGUUGAGCUUUACAUCGCCGAGCCACUUAACAAUGGCUUGUAACCCAAGUGGGGGCUUUAAGGUGGUUGGAGGUUGGUUCAUCGUAUCUUGUCGGAACUCUUAAGAGGACUACUUGCUUGCCCAUUCCAAGAAGGGAGUUGGGCCUCGCAUUUAGACGAAAGUCCAAAGUGCGAUGCCUUUAGAUUGGAGGAAACCGCGUGAGGUUGGCCUUACAGAGCAGCGUCACCUCAUGCUCUCGUCGGUGGACGGAUAGCGUGCAAGUUCUUGAGAGCCCAAUUAACCCUGGUACGAAGUUCAAAACAAGACAACCAACUUUUU